rnacentral:rRNA from 1 species
AACGAACGCUGGCGGCAUGCCUAACACAUGCAAGUCGAACGAGACCUUUGGGUCUAGUGGCGCACGGGUGCGUAACGCGUGGGAAUCUGCCCUUGGGUUCGGAAUAACAGUUAGAAAUGACUGCUAAUACCGGAUGAUGACUUCGGUCCAAAGAUUUAUCGCCCAAGGAUGAGCCCGCGUAGGAUUAGCUAGUUGGUAGGGUAAAGGCCUACCAAGGCGACGAUCCUUAGCUGGUCUCAGAGGAUGAUCAGCCACACUGGGACUGAGACACGGCCCAGACUCCUACGGGAGGCAGCAGUGGGGAAUAUUGGACGAUGGGCGAAAGCCUGAUCCAGCAAUGCCGCGUGAGUGAUGAAGGCCCUAGGGUUGUAAAGCUCUUUUACCCGGGAUGAUAAUGACAGUACCGGGAGAAUAAGCCCCGGCUAACUCCGUGCCAGCAGCCGCAGUAACAC